GUAGAUAUAGUUUAACUAAAACACUAGAUUGUGAUUCUAAAAAUAGAAGUUAAAAUCUUCUCAUCCACC
rnacentral:tRNA from 1 species